GGAGAGAUGGCUCAGUGGUUAAGAGCACUGACUGCUCUUCCAGAGGACCUGGGUUUGAUUCCCAGCACCUACA
rnacentral:tRNA from 1 species